rnacentral:rRNA from 1 species
UACGGAGGGUGCAAGCGUUAUCCGGAUUCACUGGGUUUAAAGGGUGCGUAGGAGGGUGUGUAAGUCAGUGGUGAAAUCUUCGAGCUUAACUCGGAAACUGCCGUUGAUACUACAUGUCUUGAAUACCGUGGAGGUGAGCGGAAUAUGUCAUGUAGCGGUGAAAUGCUUAGAUAUGACAUAGAACACCAAUUGCGAAGGCAGCUCACUACACGAGCAUUGACUCUGAGGCACGAAAGCGUGGGUAGCAAACAGG